AUAUCCACAAACUGUUUUCUGCCAGUGGUCCGCCAUUGUUGUUUUGGUUUUCAAUGCUUGAAUUUUGUUAUGUGAAACGUCACUCAGACGAAAGUCCAGCCCUAUUUAUACUAAUGCUAGAGAAAAAAGUGAUAGCUCUUUCCCAUUUCCUUUACCUGAAUUGCCAACAUCACCAAAGAUUCAGAUCAAACCCAGACCAAGACAAGGUGGCAACAAUUCUAAGAGUGUGGUUCUUGUAACUCCUCCUUUCCCCAAAAGUUCACAAUCACCAAAUUCAAUGAAUCUGUUUAUUUUGAUGUCAACAUUUAGGGCCAGGCCCUAGGCUCUCGAAGACUCUUUCCUUUUUCAAGAAUUAGAUUUGGCAGUUCCUCAUGUUGCUAUGGUGACCUUGACUGUUGGUUCAAUUGUUGUCGACAGAUUACAGACUAACCUUUACCAGUAUAGGGACUCAUUGCAAUCAGGAAAAUAUCAUUGCAAUUAUGAAAUGACGAGUAGCAAUAACACGAAUUCAAAUUUUGGAUUUCUCAUGAAAGAUGGAGUUCUCUGUCGUGUGCAGCUCAGGUACCGUAAAGCAGAAGUUGAAAAACCGGUG